GAUGAACGCUGGCGGCGUACUUAACACAUGCAAGUCGAACGGAGUCCUUCGGGACUUAGUGGCGGACGGGUGAGUAACGCGUGAGAAUCUGCCUUCAGGACGGGGACAACAAUUGGAAACGAUUGCUAAUACCCGAUAUGCCGCGAGGUGAAAUGUAUUUCGCCUGAAGAUGAGCUCGCGUCCGAUUAGCUAGUUGGUGGUGUAAGAGACUACCAAGGCGAUGAUCGGUAGCUGGUCUGAGAGGAUGAGCAGCCACACUGGGACUGAGACACGUCCCAGACUCCUACGGGAGGCAGCAGUGGGGAAUUUUCCGCAAUGGGCGAAAGCCUGACGGAGCAACGCCGCGUGAGGGAAGAAAGUCUUUGGAUUGUAAACCUCUUUUCUCAGGGAAGAAGUCAGUGACGGUACCUGAGGAAUCAGCAUCGGCUAACUCCGUGCCAGCCGCCGCCGUAACAC
rnacentral:rRNA from 1 species